rfam:Myotis brandtii contig164636, whole genome shotgun sequence.
GGCCAGGUAGCUCAGUUGGUUAGAGCAUCAGCCUGAUACACCAAGGUUGUGGGUUUGAUCCCUGCUCAGGUCA